rnacentral:lncRNA from 1 species
CAGUAAUUUUAUUUGAGAAAAAAACCAUAUUAAACCAUCAAAUAAAUUUUACAAUGCCUAAGUGUUAAAAUCAAAGGUCGACCAAUCAUAUUUUAUAUAUUUUAAAAGACUUUAAAUAUAAAAUUGAUUGUUUAUCAGAUUAUAAAUAUAGUAUUGAAGUUAGAUAUUAAAAUUAAAGUAAAAACGUAUAACACUUUUCUUAACUAUGAACUAUUUUCAAUCAGUCAUCCAACCUUUUUAAAUUUUAUUUUUACCGUCCAACCUUUUUACAAAGUAGAUUUGAGUGAAUUAAUAAAUUAUGAUUUCAAAAUUUAAAUGCAUCGUUUUGAUUUACGAAUUUAGUUAAUAUGCUUCAUGUAAUUCCUGCAAAUAAAUUUAUUUAAAAAUAAUAAUAAUUUAAACUCUAUCAAUUUUUUUUUUCUUAUUGUAUAAUCUAUACAUAAGUGAUCAAUAUUAUAAAAUUAAAAUUUAUAUUUAAUAUAUAAAAUCUAAAAUAUUAAAAACCUAUAGAUAAAACUUUAUAUAUUUUAAAUUUUUAUAAUGAGAGAUUGAAAAUUAAAUUGGAUUAAAAAAAUUCAAUUUCUUCAAUCCAAAUUAAUGCAAAAUAAAAAAAAAAAUUUAAAAAUGGCUAUCCAACCCCGUAAUAUUGGUUGUGAAUUGAUGUAUUGGCGGCGGCAUUCGUAAGUCACCACCAUUGUUUAUAUAUUGGCGGCGACAUUUAUAUGUCGCCACCAUUGUUUACGUAUUGGCGGCGACAUUUAUAUAUCGCCACCAUUGUUUACGUAUUGGCGGCUUCAUUUAUUUGUCGUCACGAUUGUUUAAGUAUUGGCGGCGACAUUUACUUGUCGCCACUAUUGUUUACGUAUUGGCGGCGACAUUUACUUGUCGCCACCAUUGUUUACGUAUUGGCGGCGACAUUUACUUGUCGCCACCAUUGUUUACGUAUUGGCGGCGACAUUUAUUUGUCGCCACCAUAUCUUCUACAUAGGUGGCGACAUUACUUGUCGCCACAAAAAAGUCGCCGCCAAAACACGUUUUUCUUGUAGU